CCUACGGGAGGCAGCAGUAGGGAAUAUUGCUCAAUGGGCGAAACCCUGAAGCAGCAACGCCGCGUGGAGGAUGAAGGUUUUCGGAUUGUAAACUCCUUUUGUUAGAGAAGAUAAUGACGGUAUGUAACGAAUAAGCACCGGAUAACUCCGUGCCAGCAGCCGCGGUACUACGGCGGGUGCAAGCGUUACUCGGAAUCACUGGGCGUAAAGAGCGCGUAGGCGGGAUAGCAAGUCAGAUGUGAAAUCCUAUGGCGUAACCAUAGAACUGCAUUUGAAACUGUCAUUCUAGAGUAUGGGAGAGGUAGGUGGAAUUCGUGGUGUAGCGGUAAAAUGCGUAGAGAUCAAGAAGAAUACUCAUUGCGAAGGCAGCCUGCUAGAACAAUACUGACGCUGAUGCGCGAAAGCGUGGGGAGCAAACAGGAUUAGAUACCCUUGUAGUC
rnacentral:rRNA from 1 species